rnacentral:lncRNA from 1 species
GCACUGACUUCUAUCUCAUUAAUUUAAUAGGCUCCUGGAAUGAGGAUGGGAAGGUAGAGAGGCAGCCUUGACAAGGAGAUUACUGAGCAGCGCCGGCAUUGUGUGUUUUGCGAGCUCGUAACAGAACGAGGACUUGCUGGAGGGCAUUCCAAUGUAAGGUGAAGAAAGCGAAGAAGGCUAGAGAUAAAGGCACUCUCUGCACACAGAGGAGGAGCCUAUUGAACAGAAGCCUUUGCCCUGAUGAAACUGUUUCUAUAGCACCAUUUUCAUAAAAUUCAGAAAUGCUUUUGCUGCAGAAAUAUCAGCUCCUUUAUGAC